rnacentral:rRNA from 1 species
CAGUCGCCGCGGUAAAACGGAGGGUGCAGGCGUUAAUCGGAAUUACUGGGCGUAAAGCGUGCGUAGGCGGUUUGUUAAGUCUGCUGUGAAAUCCCCGGGCUCAACCUGGGAAUGGCAGUGGAUACUGGCAAGCUAGAGUGUGUCAGAGGAUGGUGGAAUUCCCGGUGUAGCGGUGAAAUGCGUAGAGAUCGGGAGGAACAUCAGUGGCGAAGGCGGCCAUCUGGGACAACACUGACGCUCAGGUGCGAAAGCGUGGGGAGCAAACAGGAUUAGAUACCCGCGUAGUCCCUGUCUCUUAUAC